GGUAGUAGCAAAUAUUCAAAUGAGAGCUUUGAAGACCGAAGUGGAGAAAGGUUCCAUGUGAACAGCAGUUGGACAUGGGUUAGUCGAUCCUAAGAGAUAGGGAAAUUCCGUUUGCAAGCGCCCGAUCUUGGGCCGCCUAUCGAAAGGGAAUCGGGUUAAUAUUCCCGAACCGGGACGCGGAUAUUGCCGUUCGCGGCAGAUGCGGUAACGCAAACGAACCCGAAGACGCUGGCGGGGGCCCUGGGAAGAGUUCUCUUUUCUUUUUAACGAGCUUUCACCCUGAAAUCAGCUUGCCUGGAGAUAGGGUUUAAUGCUCGGUAAAGCACCACACUUCUUGUGGUGUCCGGUGCGCUCUCGACGGCCCUUGAAAAUUCGGGGAAGACAUUGAUUUUUGUGUCCGGUCGUACUCAUAACCGCAGCAGGUCUCCAAGGUGAGCAGCCUCUGGUU
rnacentral:rRNA from 1 species